rfam:Burkholderia graminis C4D1M ctg40, whole genome shotgun sequence.
GUGAGGGCGACCGAGCGUGGGGAGGAAGCGUGGAGCGAAACCGCGAGCCGAUGAACAAGAACCGGAUAUGAGGCGGUGCCGAUCAGGGCGAGCGUGCAAAGAAGCGCGAAGCUCUCGUGGUCAAGGAUCAGGCAACGUAAAUGCGGCGGUUGUGCGGUGAAGGAUUGCGUUC